rnacentral:rRNA from 1 species
UACGUAGGGUCCGAGCGUUGUCCGGAUUUAUUGGGCGUAAAGAGCUCGUAGGCGGUUCGGUAAGUCGGGUGUGAAAACUCUGGGCUCAACCCAGAGAGGCCACCCGAUACUGCCGUGACUGGAGUGCGGUAGGGGAGUGGGGAAUUCCUGGUGUAGCGGUGAAAUGCGCAGAUAUUGGGAGGAACACCGAUGGCGUAAGCAGCCAACUGGACGAUUACUGACGCUGAGAUACGAAAGUAUGGGGAGCAAACAGGG